rnacentral:rRNA from 1 species
AAGCUACUAAGAGCGAAUGGUGGAUGCCUUGACUGGUAAAGGCGAUGAAGGACGUACUAGACUGCGAUAAGCUACGGGGAGCUGUCAAGAAGCUUUGAUCCGUAGAUUUCCGAAUGGGGCAACCAAUGUAUAGAGAUAUACAUUACCUAUAUAGGAGCGAACGAGGGGAAUUGAAACAUCUUAGUACCCUCAGGAAAAGAAAUCAAUAGAGAUUGCGUCAGUAGCGGCGAGCGAAAGCGCAAGAGGGCAAACCCAGUGCUUGCACUGGGGGUUGUAGGACUGCAAUGUGCAAGAGGUAAGUUUAGCAGAACAUUCUGGAAAGUAUAACCAUAGAGGGUGAUAGUCCCGUAUGCGAAAAACAAACCUUAGCUAGCAGUAUCCUGAGUAGGGCGGGACACGAGGAAUCCUGUCUGAAUCCGGGUCGACCACGAUCCAACCCUAAAUACUAAUACCAGAUCGAUAGUGCACAAGUACCGUGAGGGAAAGGUGAAAAGAACUGAGGUGAUCAGAGUGAAAUAGAACCUGAAACCAUUUGCUUACAAUCAUUCAGAGCCCUAUGUAGCAAUACAGGGUGAUGGACUGCCUUUUGCAUAAUGAGCCUGCGAGUUGUGGUGUCUGGCAAGGUUAAGCAAACGCGAAGCCGUAGCGAAAGCGAGUCUGAAUAGGGCGCUUAGUCAGAUGCUGCAGACCCGAAACGAAGUGAUCUAUCCAUGAGCAAGUUGAAGCUAGUGUAAGAACUAGUGGAGGACUGAACCCAUAGGCGUUGAAAAGCCCCGGGAUGACUUGUGGAUAGGGGUGAAAGGCCAAUCAAACUUCGUGAUAGCUGGUUCUCUCCGAAAUAUAUUUAGGUAUAGCGUUGUGUCGUAAUAUAAGGGGGUAGAGCACUGAAUGGGCUAGGGCAUACACCAAUGUACCAAACCCUAUCAAACUCCGAAUACCUUAUAUGUAAUCACAGCAGUCAGGCGGCGAGUGAUAAAAUCCGUCGUCAAGAGGGAAACAACCAGACUACCAGCUAAGGUCCCUAAAUCUUACUUAAGUGAAAACGAUGUGAAGUUACUUAAACAACCAGGAGGUUGGCUUAGAAGCAGCCAUCCUUUAAAGAAAGCGUAAUAGCUCACUGGUCUAGUGAUUUUGCGCGGAAAAUAUAACGGGGCUAAAGUAAGUACCGAAGCUGUAGACUUAGUUUACUAAGUGGUAGGAGAGCGUUCUAUUUGCGUCGAAGGUAUACCGGUAAGGAGUGCUGGAGCGAAUAGAAGUGAGCAUGCAGGCAUGAGUAGCGAUAAUUAAUGUGAGAAUCAUUAACGCCGUAAACCCAAGGUUUCCUACGCGAUGCUCGUCAUCGUAGGGUUAGUCGGGUCCUAAGUCGAGUCCGAAAGGGGUAGACGAUGGCAAAUUGGUUAAUAUUCCAAUACCAACAUUAGUGUGCGAUGGAAGGACGCUUAGGGCUAAGGGGGCUAGCGGAUGGAAGUGCUAGUCUAAGGUCGUAGGAGGUUGUACAGGCAAAUCCGUAUAACAAUACUCCGAGAACUGAAAGGCUUUUUGAAGUCUUCGGAUGGAUAGAAGAACCCCUGAUGCCGUCGAGCCAAGAAAAGUUUCUAAGUUUAGCUAAUGUUGCCCGUACCGUAAACCGACACAGGUGGGUGGGAUGAGUAUUCUAAGGCGCGUGGAAGAACUCUCUUUAAGGAACUCUGCAAAAUAGCACCGUAUCUUCGGUAUAAGGUGUGGUUAGCUUUGUAUUAGGAUUUACUCCGAAAGCAAGGAAACUUACAACAAAGAGUCCCUCCCGACUGUUUACCAAAAACACAGCACUCUGCUAACUCGUAAGAGGAUGUAUAGGGUGUGACGCCUGCCCGGUGCUCGAAGGUUAAUUGAUGGGGUUAGCAUUAGCAAAGCUCUUGAUCGAAGCCCGAGUAAACGGCGGCCGUAACUAUAACGGUCCUAAGGUAGCGAAAUUCCUUGUCGGUUAAAUACCGACCUGCAUGAAUGGCGUAACGAGAUGGGAGCUGUCUCAAAGAGGGAUCCAGUGAAAUUGUAGUGGAGGUGAAAAUUCCUCCUACCCGCGGCAAGACGGAAAGACCCCGUGGACCUUUACUACAGCUUGACACUGCUACUUGGAUAAGAAUGUGCAGGAUAGGUGGGAGGCUUUGAGUAUAUGACGCCAGUUGUAUAUGAGCCAUUGUUGAGAUACCACUCUUUCUUAUUUGGGUAGCUAACCAGCUUGAGUUAUCCUCAAGUGGGACAAUGUCUGGUGGGUAGUUUGACUGGGGCGGUCGCCUCCCAAAUAAUAACGGAGGCUUACAAAGGUUGGCUCAGAACGGUUGGAAAUCGUUCGUAGAGUAUAAAGGUAUAAGCCAGCUUAACUGCAAGACAUACAAGUCAAGCAGAGACGAAAGUCGGUCUUAGUGAUCCGGUGGUUCUGUGUGGAAGGGCCAUCGCUCAAAGGAUAAAAGGUACCCCGGGGAUAACAGGCUGAUCUCCCCCAAGAGCUCACAUCGACGGGGAGGUUUGGCACCUCGAUGUCGGCUCAUCGCAUCCUGGGGCUGGAGCAGGUCCCAAGGGUAUGGCUGUUCGCCAUUUAAAGCGGUACGCGAGCUGGGUUCAGAACGUCGUGAGACAGUUCGGUCCCUAUCUGCCGUGGGCGUAAGAAGAUUGAAGAGAUUUGACCCUAGUACGAGAGGACCGGGUUGAACAAACCACUGGUGUAGCUGUUGUUCUGCCAAGAGCAUCGCAGCGUAGCUAAGUUUGGAAAGGAUAAACGCUGAAAGCAUCUAAGCGUGAAGCCAACUCUAAGAUGAAUCUUCUCUAAGCUCUCUAGAAGACUACUAGUUUGAUAGGCUGGGUGUGUAAUGGAUGAAAGUCCUUUAGCUGACCAGUACUAAUAGAGCGUUUGGCUUAUCU